rnacentral:sRNA from 1 species
GGAAGGUUCACCACCCAGGGAUUCUAAAUAUCUAGACAGAGAACUUUGCAUUGUCAGUCUCAGAACACACAAGGUGACAGUUUAAUGCUUCGGACUUUGCAAGGAGCAGAGCUGAGGUGUGACAGUCGAGUUUGAGCGAUCACAGGUAGUAAUAGCACUGAGGACACAUUGGAGGCGAUGCCUGCCAAAGAAGGGUCAAUAAGGAGAGUGUCACAGUUCUCCACACAGUGGGAGCAGAACCCAUGGGUUAGGGGAGAUGAGGUUGAGGGUGACACUCAGAACUAUGGACGGUUCUAGAAAUGUACUAGCAGACAUCUCAAGCCUCAUGAGUUCAUUUAUCGAAGCUGUCCCCUCUGGGUCAUCAGUACCUCUCUACCUCUCUUUCCCUACAAGUCACCUCCCACGGCACAUCUCGUAUACCUUCUUUGGCUGGGUUCUCAGCUGCCAACACCAUUUCCCUCUAUUGGACUGUAAACCUCCAAGACAAAACCAUUCUGUCUUAUUAUUGUUGUGUUCAUGUUGUUAUGACACACGACAGGCAUGUCAUAAGAAGGUGUAUGAGUGUGGUAUUUUAAAAGGCAUGGCUAAUACGCUUAGGAACAGAGAUCAGGAAGCAUCUGGGGGAUGGGGAAGGUUUUUACACAGUAGCAACUUACUUUAUGGUCCUAAUGAAGGACUUCCCGGGCAGGACAGGAGAAUGACAAAGCAUUUGAAAGUCAAAAACCAGUGUGUAGAAGAGACAUUGUAAUAAGAAACAAUUCAAACGGCCUUGCAACAUCAGCAAGUUCAUUUUCUCUUCUGUCUCAAGACCCUAAUGUGAGCUGAAUGCUCUCUAGUCCUGACUGCACCCUGCUUAUAGAAUGAAUAUGUGGUAGCAACUGAGACCAGGAGUUGUGCACAUUCCUUCAUGCAACAUCCCUUUUCCCUUGGAUUCAUCGUUUAAAACAGCAGUAAAAUGACAUUAAGUUCAAGCCAAGGUGGCAGCUCUUCAUGACCAGGUCGUGGGCCUCCUCAGUCCUCACUGACUGCACGGGAGUUUAUCUGCAGACCAAAGGCAACUUUGAGAUGCUGCCAUGGCAUGUGAGGUUCCGGGGAUGAGGAAGAGUUGUUCAGCGAGUGACCUCUGGCUUCCUUUUUAUGAAUGAAGACCAAGAUAAGAAUCUAUACACACUCGGGCUCUCUCUGCUCCUUCAUUCUGGACACCGCAGAAAUGGGAAUCAGCAGUGACAAAGAAUACCAAACCCCAAACCUGAGUUUAUUCUAGAAACUGGUCGAAUUCUGGAGAAAUCGAAAGAGCAACAUUUGGUCAAAUUUAUCAUCGCGCUUUCUUAAAACUAGCUUAGUGAGCUCAGACUUACGGGAGUCGCUAGCUGGAAGAUACAAUUACCGUGAUAUUCUGAUCCGCCAGGAUUCAUAGCCAGGAACUAAGUCACCUGGGAGUCAGUGUUGGAUAGAAGGGAGGGCAAAUGUCUUGAUGCAAGGGGGUUCUAGAGAAAGGGCUGCAAUGAAGGAGGGAACAGACAAACGUAAUGAAGGAUUAUGGGAGGAGCUGUUCAGGAAUCCAUGGCAACAGCAUGAGGAACAGAAGCCAAAGGCAUCAUACACAGAAGACUUUGCAACCCUGAGCAUGCAUGAGCUCUGCUGGUUCGAGGCUUACGGACCCAUGUUCUCAGCAGAGCCAAGUGGAGGGUGUUCCCCACUUUAUUACUGAAGCAUGCCAUACCUUGCAGGGUUAUGGAACAGAGAUGUGGGGUGAUGGCACCCAUGCAGGAAAGCAGGGUGCUUACUGAAUACUGCCAGCCAAGGUCCACAUAGCCUCCCUCAGGUAACCAGUUCAAAAACUCCCAAGUGGAUUCCUGAGAUGUCCAUGUGAGAAAUUUUUUCAGACUUUUGGAAAAGCAGGGUAAGAGAGACUUGCCCAGAACUUGAAAUGUCUUCAGUUGUGGAUAAAGCGUGGAGUGAAAGCUACUAUCGUGUUCAGCGUUGUCGGUGUUUGUGAGACCUGUGAUAGUCCAGCCAAAUGCAACAGAAAGACAGGCCGCUCUGUGAUUGACUCCUUUCGCACUUAGUAGGAGCAAUGCAACUGAAGCAAAAAUAACUAAACAAAAGGAGUAAGGGCACCGGACUUGAAAACCGAGUUCUGACCUGUCUCCCAAUCGAGCUGCCCUCAUAGGAUUGGGGGCCAUUCUGUUCGGUUUUCUCAGACAUUUGGGUCCACCACACCUUUUGCCUUGAAGCCAAACUAACCAGUGGCAUUAUAUACCAAAGGUACACUUUCUGGAGACCGCCUCUAGCAAGGCGAGUGAUGAGAACACGAUGCUUCCUUCUCCUCUCCAGUCCGUUCCCAGGACUCUGUCCCUGAAGCAGAGGCCAAGCCGGACACCCAAGCAGGACUUCCCGGACUCUGAUUUUGGAACUAAAAAUCAAUCCACCCAGAGCUCAAUGGGGAUCAAGUGAGGGGUGUGCCUGCUUGUGGGGGAUGCUGAGGUGGAUGCUCUGAGUUUCCUGAUCUAUAAGGUAGGGUUCCUAUCACCACCCCCUGGCACAAAGCCAGCUGGCUCCUCUAGAACACUGGGAAACAAGCUGCCAAGAAGAGAGAAUGGCAUCCUUUGCUUCCCCACAGACUGAAGGAAGGAUGCUCACAUCACCGGGGCCUUACGAGAGUCACCCUUAGGCUCCUGCAGAUAGUGUCUGUGAGACACAAAAGGAACUGGUGGUCCUCUAGUUGCUAAGAGGUAAAGACCUCUGAGAAGGUGGGUCUCAGUCAAACCCUACGAACCCCAGGGAGCCAACACACCUCCUAGAAAUCCAAGCAGGUUCUGAUUCUCAUUCCCAAAGUGUAGAGCAGUGGACAAGGAGGGGAACUAAGGCUUGUCAAUAAAGGGACUGUGAGCAAAGGUUCUGUGGACAUUACUGGAGAAAACAUAGAAGCAUUACUAAUACCAUUAUGUUAUUAUUGUUGUCGUUGUGAACUUGUAACCUCAUCGGGCUUUGGAUUAGUCAGGUCUCCAUCUGUGCCCAGAGCUAAGGCUGAAUCACAAGUCUCCAUACCCAAAUGCUGCCCGGAAAGAGCUGGUCUCUCAGGAGUGCUGUCGCUCCAAAGGUCACAGGUAAGCUUUAGACUGUAGAGUUUUGUUGCUCUCAGACUACAAAUAGCAGUGCCUCAUUCCUUUAGAAAAGACUGGUGUUACUUCUGAAUCUGAGAUGUUGCUCCAGGCUCGAGUGUUGGGGGUUUGGUUGCUACCUGGCGGGAUUUGGGGAACUCAUUGGAUCCAGGAGGCUCCAACUUCACAGGGAGAUUACUCUGGAUGAAGUCAUAGCUUUGUGGCAUUAUUGGAAGUGAUGGAAAAUGAAAUGUGGGGCCGAGUUGGAGGAAACACAUUCCCGAGGUCAUGCCCCUAGAGAGCACAUUGCAUCACAUCUCAUGCCAGCCCCUUCUCUCUAUGCUUCCCCAUUGCUGGAAGGUGAGCUCUUCUGUCCUACCACAGGUCCCAGAACAAAUGAACUUUCACCUUUUGAAAUGUUCCACAAAGAACUAACACGAGGCAUAAAUGUAUGCACACCCUCUGACAGAAACUCCACUCCUGAGUAUGUCAAGAUGAAAGGGAGCUUGAGGCCAUCAAGAAACUGGUACAAGGAUAAUCAUAAUGUUAUUCACAGUGGCCUAAAACCACAAACAGCUAAAAGCGUAUUGGGGCUAUUGGGGGAAGACAGUUCAGCCUUGCAAGCUAAACUCAGAUGUGGCACUGAAUGCUUCUAACUCCUGUGAUGGAAUAAAAAGGGUUGGAGAGGCAGACAGUACCUGAGGAACUGCACCCAAAGCUGUCCUCUGAAGCAUGUCCACAACCAUGCACACACACACACACACACACACACACACACACACACUCACACACACGUAAGUGACCAGUACACCGAUAGUUGAUUUGACUAACAAGCUAUUAUGUUCAUAGAAUUUCAAACAGUAUUGGAAAGAGAAGGAAUUACUGGUGUGGCCAAUUCCACUGGUGACUCUCAGGGACAUAAUGUUAAACAAAACAAGGUAAGACCAACAGAUAUGACAUGAUUUCACUUACA